GCGACUAAGCGUACACGGUGGAUGCCCUGGCAGUCAGAGGCGAUGAAGGACGUGCUAAUCUGCGAUAAGCGUCGGUAAGGUGAUAUGAACCGUUAUAACCGGCGAUUUCCGAAUGGGGAAACCCAGUGUGUUUCGACACACUAUCAUUAACUGAAUCCAUAGGUUAAUGAGGCGAACCGGGGGAACUGAAACAUCUAAGUACCCCGAGGAAAAGAAAUCAACCGAGAUUCCCCCAGUAGCGGCGAGCGAACGGGGAGCAGCCCAGAGCCUGAAUCAGUGUGUGUGUUAGUGGAAGCGUCUGGAAAGGCGCGCGAUACAGGGUGACAGCCCCGUACACAAAAAUGCACAUGCUGUGAGCUCGAUGAGUAGGGCGGGACACGUGGUAUCCUGUCUGAAUAUGGGGGGACCAUCCUCCAAGGCUAAAUACUCCUGACUGACCGAUAGUGAACCAGUACCGUGAGGGAAAGGCGAAAAGAACCCCGGCGAGGGGAGUGAAAAAGAACCUGAAACCGUGUACGUACAAGCAGUGGGAGCACGCUUAGGCGUGUGACUGCGUACCUUUUGUAUAAUGGGUCAGCGACUUAUAUUCUGUAGCAAGGUUAACCGAAUAGGGGAGCCGAAGGGAAACCGAGUCUUAACUGGGCGUUAAGUUGCAGGGUAUAGACCCGAAACCCGGUGAUCUAGCCAUGGGCAGGUUGAAGGUUGGGUAACACUAACUGGAGGACCGAACCGACUAAUCUUGAAAAAUUAGCGGAUGACUUGUGGCUGGGGGUGAAAGGCCAAUCAAACCGGGAGAUAGCUGGUUCUCCCCGAAAGCUAUUUAGGUAGCGCCUCGUGAAUUCAUCUCCGGGGGUAGAGCACUGUUUCGGCAAGGGGGUCAUCCCGACUUACCAACCCGAUGCAAACUGCGAAUACCGGAGAAUGUUAUCACGGGAGACACACGGCGGGUGCUAACGUCCGUCGUGAAGAGGGAAACAACCCAGACCGCCAGCUAAGGUCCCAAAGUCAUGGUUAAGUGGGAAACGAUGUGGGAAGGCCCAGACAGCCAGGAUGUUGGCUUAGAAGCAGCCAUCAUUUAAAGAAAGCGUAAUAGCUCACUGGUCGAGUCGGCCUGCGCGGAAGAUGUAACGGGGCUAAACCAUGCACCGAAGCUGCGGCAGCGACGCUUAUGCGUUGUUGGGUAGGGGAGCGUUCUGUAAGCCUGCGAAGGUGUGCUGUGAGGCAUGCUGGAGGUAUCAGAAGUGCGAAUGCUGACAUAAGUAACGAUAAAGCGGGUGAAAAGCCCGCUCGCCGGAAGACCAAGGGUUCCUGUCCAACGUUAAUCGGGGCAGGGUGAGUCGACCCCUAAGGCGAGGCCGAAAGGCGUAGUCGAUGGGAAACAGGUUAAUAUUCCUGUACUUGGUGUUACUGCGAAGGGGGGACGGAGAAGGCUAUGUUGGCCGGGCGACGGUUGUCCCGGUUUAAGCGUGUAGGCUGGUUUUCCAGGCAAAUCCGGAAAAUCAAGGCUGAGGCGUGAUGACGAGGCACUACGGUGCUGAAGCAACAAAUGCCCUGCUUCC
rnacentral:rRNA from 1 species